AACGAACGCUGGCGGCAUGCCUAACACAUGCAAGUCGAACGAGACCUUCGGGUCUAGUGGCGCACGGGUGCGUAACGCGUGGGAACCUGCCCUUAGGUUCGGAAUAACUCAGAGAAGUUUGAGCUAAUACCGGAUAAUGUCUUCGGACCAAAGAUUUAUCGCCUUUGGAUGGGCCCGCGUAGGAUUAGCUUGUUGGUGGGGUAAUGGCCUACCAAGGCGACGAUCCUUAGCUGGUCUGAGAGGAUGAUCAGCCACACUGGGACUGAGACACGGCCCAGACUCCUACGGGAGGCAGCAGUGGGGAAUAUUGGACAAUGGGCGAAAGCCUGAUCCAGCAAGGCCGCGUGAGUGAUGAAGGCCUUAGGGUUGUAAAGCUCUUUUACCAGGGAUGAUAAUGACAGGACCUGGAGAAUAAGCUCCGGCUAACUCCGU
rnacentral:rRNA from 1 species